rnacentral:rRNA from 1 species
UGGGGAAUAUUGGACUAUGGGCGAAAGCCUGAUCCAGCCAUGCCGCGUGUGUGAAGAAGGCCUUUUGGUUGUAAAGCACUUUAAGUGGGGAGGAAAAGCUUAUGGUUAAUACCCAUAAGCCCUGACGUUACCCACAGAAUAAGCACCGGCUAACUCUGUGCCAGCAGCCGCGGUAAUACAGAGGGUGCAAGCGUUAAUCGGAAUUACUGGGCGUAAAGCGCGCGUAGGUGGUUAUUUAAGUCAGAUGUGAAAGCCCCGGGCUUAACCUGGGAACAGCAUCUGAUACUGGAUAACUAGAGUAGGUGAGAGGGGAGUAGAAUUCCAGGUGUAGCGGUGAAAUGCGUAGAGAUCUGGAGGAAUACCGAUGGCGAAGGCAGCUCCCUGGCAUCAUACUGACACUGAGGUGCGAAAGCGUGGGUAGCAAACAGGAUUAAUACCCUGGUAGUCCACGCCGUAAACGAUGUCUACCAGUCGUUGGGUCUUUUAAAGACUUAGUGACGCAGUUAACGCAAUAAGUAGACCGCCUGGGGAGUACGGCCGCAAGGUUA